rnacentral:misc_RNA from 1 species
GAGAGAGAGAGAGAGAGAGGGAGACCAAGUGAAUGCUGCAUUGAUUCCUUUUAAGUACUUCCAUUCAAAUGUUUCUUUUGUUAAAUAUUCUCCAAGUGUCAUAGCAUAGUUCAAAAUUUUUGCAUAGCUGGGAUGCUGUUAAUGCAAUCUGUGAGGUUCUGGCUUCACUUUUGUCUAUUUGUAAUAUGUGAUGCAAUAAUACAAUAGCAGUGUACCAUGAGUUCUGAUCAUUGAUUGUGUUUUGAUAUUGAGCAGGCCA